rnacentral:tRNA from 1 species
GCCCCUGUAGCUUAAUGAUAAAGCACCCUCCCUCGCAGGGGGUUUUUGCGGGCUCGAAUCCCGCCAGGGGCU